rnacentral:lncRNA from 1 species
UGGGAGCACCCGCUCUGCCUCCGUCCUUUCAGUGCUUGUGUAACGUUGAAUCAAGGGAUUCUUUGAAUAGCAUAGCCCUGAAAUUUGAUACCACACCCAAUGAACUUGUUCAGUUAAAUAAGUUAUUCUCCAGAGCAGUCGUGACUGGACAGGUUUUAUACGUUCCUGAUCCUGAGUAUGUCUCUAGUGUUGAAAGUUCCCCAUCCCUAAGCCCUGUAAGUCCUCUGUCACCAACAUCAUCAGAAGCUGAAUUUGAUAAAACCACU